GAUGAACGCUGGCGGCGUGCCUAAUACAUGCAAGUCGAGCGAACAGACGAGGAGCUUGCUCCUCUGACGUUAGCGGCGGACGGGUGAGUAACACGUGGAUAACCUACCUAUAAGACUGGGAUAACUUCGGGAAACCGGAGCUAAUACCGGAUAAUAUAUUGAACCGCAUGGUUCGAUAGUGAAAGACGGUUUUGCUGUCACUUAUAGAUGGAUCCGCGCCGCAUUAGCUAGUUGGUAAGGUAACGGCUUACCAAGGCGACGAUGCGUAGCCGACCUGAGAGGGUAUUCGCCCCAACUGAACCUGGGCCCCGUCCCAGCUCCUACCGGGAGCCGGAAGUAGGAAUCUUCCGCAAUGGGCGAAAGCCUGACGGAGCAACGCCGCGUGAGUGAUGAAGGUCUUCGGAUCGUAAAACUCUGUUAUUAGGGAAGAACAAAUGUGUAAGUAACUAUGCACGUCUUGACGGUACCUAAUCAGAAAGCCACGGCUAACUACGUG
rnacentral:rRNA from 1 species